rnacentral:tRNA from 1 species
GGUCGUUAGCUCAGUGGCAGAGCAGUUGACUUUUAAUCAAUUGGUCGCAGGUUCGAGCCGAGCAGAGCG